rnacentral:rRNA from 1 species
GAUGAACGCUGGCGGCGUGCCUAAUACAUGCAAGUCGAGCGAACAGACGAGGAGCUUGCUCCUCUGACGUUAGCGGCGGACGGGUGAGUAACACGUGGAUAACCUACCUAUAAGACUGGGAUAACUUCGGGAAACCGGAGCUAAUACCGGAUAAUAUAUUGAACCGCAUGGUUCAAUAGUGAAAGACGGUUUUGCUGUCACUUAUAGAUGGAUCCGCGCCGCAUUAGCUAGUUGGUAUGGUAACGGCUUACCAAGGCAACGAUGCGUAGCCGGCCUGAGAGGGUGAUCGGCCACACUGGAACUGAGACACGGUCCAGACUCCUACGGGAGGCAGCAGUAGGGAAUCUUCCGCAAUGGGCGAAAGCUUGACGGAGCAACGCCGCGUGAGUGAUGAAGGUCUUCGGAUCGUAAAACUCUGUUAUUAGGGAAGAACAAAUGUGUAAGUAACUAUGCACGUCUUGACGGUACCUAAUCAGAAAGCCACGGCUAACUACGUG